UGCCGGAAAUGGCAAAGGAAAAGGAAGAAGGAAAAACACCAAGAAGAAGAACUUCGCGCAUCUACUGAGCUAUCUACUCAGUGCAGUCCUUUUUGGAUAAAUAAAUAAAAAUGAGAAGAAAAUGUAUUUUCGGAUGCCCAGGAGACUACCCUCUUUUUAAACUUCCCAAAGAUGAGACGGUUCUUAAGCAAUGGCUGGACUUCAUUAUUCAAAAUAACACUCCGACGAAAAAAAAUUGGCAUAUCUGUGCGAGGCACUUUACCGAUGACAGCUUUCUAAACAAAAGAGAAUUUGACAGUGGACUAAUAACAAGAUUAUCACUAAAAGACGACGCAAUUCCAACGCUCAGAAGUGCCCAUACACCGUUGGCGUCUGCUCAAGGACUACCUCAAAUUAAACAAACUCGACCGCCUGGUUCCACAAACUCGGCAUUGGAACACACUGAAUGUUUCCUUAGCACAAGAUCGGUGUCUACGCAGUUGUCAGCUGGAACGUUGAGGUUACAACACUACAGGAGUAAAGUUCUGCACAGGUGUACAAGCUACUGUUCACACUGCGAGCAGAGGCACAGACGCCAAGCAGUCUUUACCGCACUUCCUGUCAACACCUGUGAAAUCUGCACUUGGCGCACAAUCGAAACGACCUCGCCUGGAAGUUGGGAAGGAAGAGGACGAUGACUUCAGGAUCUCCAGUCCUGCAUCUCAGGAUUCAAACUAUUACCCAGGAGAUACAGUCACAAACUUCUCUGACCUGAUUGACAUGGAGUCUCCUUCUGAGUUAGAAGAAGAUGCAGAAUACAUUGUAUCUGAAAGCGCUCUCAGGGAGAUUUUUGAGAACUGCCCCGUCUGCGAGAGACACUGCAUAGUACAUCUGCGGAGAUGUGGAACAGUUGUUGCUUUCAAGCAGGACUGUCCACAUUGUUUUUUCACUCGGAAAUGGCAGAGCCAGCCAACGUUGGAGGAAAUUACCACAGAGUAAUCCGGAGUUCUCAACGGCAGUGUAUUUCAACGGAGCGGGGGGAAUCGUAUACAACAUUUGAAAGGAUAAGCUUUACGGUGCACCGGUGCGAUACGCUUAGGAGGCAGAGGAUGAUGGGAUGUCGAGAUCUAAUCCAGCUUUGCUUGGAAGCCAACAUGGCUUCCGCAAGAACAACUACAACCCGAAAUCUGUCUCCAAGGAAUUGCCAGCACCAGCUCACAAAACUAAGAUAUGCCAGAAAUCUGAAACGUCUGUAACUAUAAGAAAUUGUAAAUAUUAUAACUAUUAAGGAUUGUAAUAAAUGUUUGUACAUUUUAAAA